rnacentral:tRNA from 2 species
GGAGAGGUGGCAGAGUCCGGCCGAAUGCACCGCACUCGAAAUGCGGCGCCCGACUUGCUCGGGCCGGGGGUUCGAAUCCCUCCCUCUCCG